rnacentral:misc_RNA from 1 species
AAUGAGCCAUUCGGCUGAUAAUUGAUAGUGUCUGGACUUCAAGGUCAAUUAUCGUUUGAACCUAAAUCCCAAAAUAAAUAGUGCAGCCAAGACUAAAAGUCACAGAGAUUGCUUGGGUUCCACAAGCACGUGUACAAUCAUAGACCAGGGCCGUGCAGAGUGGUUCCGGGCAUAGGAGAGGGAUCUGAAGAUAUACAAACAUUAUCCGAUGGUCUUGCCAUUAUUUCUGGGGGUUUGAAAAGCUUCGAUGAUCCAUAUGGCAUUCCUGAUAAUAUAAACGGCAGCAUUUACUUGUUUGACUUCAAAAAUCCUGAAGCAAAUGUGAAAGAGUUAACCAUCAAAGGAGAUGCGUUCAACAAGAGAUCAUUUAACCCUCAUGGAAUAAGUGCAUAUGAGGAUCAUAAAUCAGGAAGAGUCUACUUGUUUGUGGUAAACCAUCCACCUGGGGGAGACCAGAUAGAAAAGUUUACAUUUGAUAGGAAAUCUACAAUAUUGACCCAUGUAAAGACUAUAAAACACGAGGCGUUCACCGCCAUGUUAAACGACAUCGUUGCUAUAGACGAGACGCAUCUUUACGCGACAAUGCCAGUUUACGUAAAGGGUAAAAUAGUCAUCCCAAGUAUGUUCUUAUAUCUGAGACUGGGAUUGGUUCUUCACAUUAACAUGGAUGAAGAAACUGUGGAAACUGUAGGGUCUGGGUAUAUGAUGCCCAAUGGAAUAAAUGCUUCUCCAGAUAAGAGACACAUUUACUUGUCAAAUAUGGGUGACAGGAACAUAGUCAUUUUAGAAAGGAAUUCAGACUUCUCCUUGACUGAAGUCAAGACAAUAGAACUCUAUUCAGCAAUAGACAAUAUUGAUGUGGACUCAUCAACAGGUGAUUUGUGGCUAGGUGACAUAGCUAUAUUUCAUAAGGCCAUGGCUUAUAUAUCUGGCCCUAAUAAUAAAGAUCCUGGGGUCAAACCCCCAGCAAGGGUGCUGCAGGUAAAGAUGUCUGGGAACACAGAGCCCAAAGAUAUUACAGAUGUCUUUGUAGAUGAUGAGCUGAUAUUAACUGGAAGUGUUGCUAAUAGAUACAAGAAUGCAAUGCUAGUUGGUAGUGUCAACCAUAACAUGGUCUACUGUCAACUUCAAACAAUUUAAUUGCCAGACCAACUCUCUCAAUCUCCGAGCCUUUCGUCCAGUGCAAUCGUACCUCCUGUGUAGUGAAGGUACGCAACGAACGAAAUGAAUUUUGAGAAUGUAACUCUCUCCCAAUAUGGUAGCUAGAAGCAAAACAGAAAAACAUUUUGAUAUGGUCGAUAUUGAUUGCUUAAAAAUGAAGAGCUCAAUUCCAGUAGGUUGCCAUCUUUUAAGAUUUCAAUCAAGAAGUGAUGUCACAUAUCAGUGAAUUGUAUUUCUGCUUUGAUUAUCAAGGCGAAGUUGCAACCCGAAACACUAAUAAAGGUGACAAAAAUUUAAAGAUGAAGUAAUAAGUACACUACAUUGACAUGUCUUCACUCUUUUGAUAAAUA